UACGAAGGGUGCAAGCGUUACUCGGAAUUACUGGGCGUAAAGCGUGCGUAGGCGGUUUGUUAAGUCCGUUGUGAAAGCCCUGGGCUCAACCUGGGAAUUGCAGUGGAUACUGGCGAGCUAGAGUGCGGUAGAGGAUGGUGGAAUUCCCGGUGUAGCGGUGAAAUGCGUAGAGAUCGGGAGGAACACCCGUGGCGAAGGCGGCCAUCUGUACCAGCACUGACGCUGAGGCACGAAAGCCAGGGGAGCGAACGGG
rnacentral:rRNA from 1 species